rnacentral:tRNA from 1 species
GCCGGGAUGGCGGAACUGGUAGACGCGCCAGACUCAAAAUCUGGUAGGAGCAAUCCUGUGUGGGUUCGAUUCCCUCUCCCGGCACCA